CAAUAAUUGAAGGCAAUACUGUGAGAUUUGACAUUUUCUUAAGUAGUAGCAGGAUAUAGAGCUCAUGUUGUUGCUUCUGUGUCAUUUGGCAAUCCCUUUCAGGUGUGAUUGCAGAAGGGCUCAGUGCUGGUCUGAAACCUCAAGUUACAGAAGCCCAGUGGGAAGAGAGGAAGAGUUAAAUGGAUGUCACUUUAGGAGCAGCACUACUGGGAAGCAGCAGGAAUCCUCCUGCAAGAGAUGAGGAUUCACGUCAGGAUGAUACUGCUGAGGAUUCACAGUACAUCAACACAGGUAACACUGUCCUUUUUUUUAAAUUAUAUGGUGCCUGUGGAUCAGGCUUCAAAGGUGACCAUCAGCUCUCAUUUCUAGGUGCCCUGACUCGAGUCUGAAUCUCCUCACUGGCUGGAGUUGGCUUCUCACUCCUUUACUUCACUCUCAUUUUCUGUGUCCUACACAUUGUCUACUCCACUUUGGAACAGGGAUUUGCAUCACAGUUUCCCAGGUGCCAGAGAG
rnacentral:lncRNA from 1 species